AUGGAAUUAUUAUAAGUAAUUAAAAUUGUUAUUCACGAAGUAAGAAGAGCUAACAACAACAAUUUAUUAGUAUUUAACUUUAACUGUUGCAAUAUUUAAUGUUGAAUUGUUUUUAGGGGUGAAAUUCCUACAAUUCUUACGAUAUCUUGAUUUUGCUAAAAUAUAUGUAGUAUAGUUUCAGGUUAAAAAUGAUAAGGUUUUUAAUGUACAUUAUACUUAAAUUUUAGAAAUCAAAUUGUCUAACCACACUUGAUUUAUGUAUUGUAACAUAAAUUAUUAGCGUUUAUAUGUUAAGUAAGUAAAUAUGUGUUAAAACCUUUAAGCAUAUUUAGAAUGUAAGUAUUAGUAAAGAAAGUAAUCUUAUUAGAGGAACUCGGCCAAUAAGUUUUUCGACUGUUUAUCAAAAACAUUGCUCCAUGAUAUUAUAUUGGGUUUACUCUGCUCAAUGAUUAAAUUAAAUAGCCGCAGUACCUUGACUGUGCAAAGGUAGCAUAAUCAAUUGGCUUUUAAUUGGAGUCUAGUAUGAAUGGGGUUUCGAGAAAUAACUAUCUUAAUUAUUUAAAUUGAAAUUACUUAAUAGGUGAAAAUACCUAUAUUUUGAAAUUAGACGAGAAGACCCUAGAAAUUUUUAUAUAUUAUUACUUACUAAUCUAUUUUGUUGGGGCGACAUAACAACAUAUAACUUGUCUAAUCUUUAUAUAACCUUAUUGUAUAUCUUAAUUAAAUUACUCUAGGGAUAACAGCACAAUUCAUUAGAGUUUGUGACCUCGAUGUUGGACUAGGUAAAUUGAUGUUUAGAAGAAGUUAAUUUAGGCUCUGUUCGAGCUAUUAUUACCUACAUGAUCUG
rnacentral:rRNA from 1 species